GUACGGGGGCGGGGGCGUGGACCUCCACAUAUACACUUGUACACGUAUACACAUAGGUGUGCAUGUCAGUAUACAUACAUGGAAAGAGUGCGUGUGGCAGUGCACAUACAUGUCUGCCUGUUUGCGCACACCUGCAUGCACACACACGCAGUAUGCACCUGCAGGCACGCUGUACCCUAUGUGCUACAGGUGCACUGUGUGUAUACACCUACACAUGCAGAUGCGUGUGCAUGUACACACACACACACACACGUGCAUGCAUGUACAUGGCUGCAUGGGCUCACACACCGAGUGCGUGAGUAGGGCUGGGAGUCAGUCAGCUCUGUGAGGCAUGUGAACACCUGCAUGCGAUUCACGAGGUUUCCGGCAGGAAGCCGUAGCAUCAGAAGCCGUUCGUAUCUGCUGUGGCAAGAGGUAGGGGUGGGCGUCAGUCCACUAUUUUUCAUAAUGAAAAACAGUGAAAUUAAUUUUUGAAAAGCAGGUGCCACAAAACUCAGGCCAGUUGCAGACGGGCGUCUGGAGCCGAAAGAGGCUGAGAAACCCCCGUACUAGGUACAGGAAGCCACGAUGAUCGCUUUCUCGACAGCAUCUUCAGUAGCACCUGGGUAUAUUUUUCAUGCCUGUUAAUGGGGACUGAUUUCAGACACGCUCCAGUGAAGACAUUAAGUAGGACUGAAAUUGUCUCCUUGUUUCAUUCAGCGUAGGCCUAAAGGCCUCAAGUUGCAGUUAGUUCGUUACUGAACAAACUGCCGGUUUUCAGGGAGUCUCCAGCGCUCGACGCUCCUCACCUCCCGCUCCAGCGCUCGGCGCUGUCUCCCCCGGGCACUGACGCUCCUGGUUAUGCCUCUGGCUUUGCUUACACAAGAAGUUGAACCAGUUUAACUCUGGUUUACUCAAUCUGGUCAAUUUAAGUAGUGCACACCAAUUCACAGGUGCUUUUCUUGGUGUAGCUUGUGUUGAUAACUUUUUAAAACCAAUUUUAUUUAAAUAGGCACAAUAUCUGGCUAGGUGAGGGUUGAAAUGUCAUUUCCCACACCCUUUGCAUAGUCAUAAUUCACUAAUUGAGAAAUUAAUUUUUUUUUCUUCUUCUUUCAGCGCUACGACUUGUUGUGAAGCAUUUACAGCUGCUCCACUUAUGCAUAUUUUCCAACAGGCAGGAUCUUUUGAAAACGAUACCUAAUGUUAUAUUAUUAAAAUGGCUAUCCAUACAAGGCAGAGUGUAAAAAUGAAAAUGCUGACAGGUUCAAGCAGGACAGUUUCAGGAAAGUAUGACUUGAGAGAGGCAGCCAGACAGACAAUCCAAAUGCUUCAGUUGGCAGGAUGAAGUGAUAUGCUAAUGUAAGAGAAAAGACUUGCACAGAGGACACUUCACGCCCACAUCCAAGUCACUGAUGAAGACACUGAAGAGUACAGGUCUAAGGACUGAGCCCGGUGGGAACCCACUACCCAGAUGCUUCCAGGUCGAUACCGACCCGUCUGCUACCACUCUCUGGGUGCGACCCGCAAGCCAAUUUGCCACCUGCCAGACCGUGUAAACAUCUAAGUCACAGCCUCUUAAUUUAUUUAAGAGAAUGGGAUGAGAUACGGAAUCGAAGGUCUUCCUAAAAUAAAAAAAACCAACAUCCACCUCUACUUCUGCAUCAGCAUUUUGUGACCUGGUUAUAAAAUGAAACCAGAUUAGUCAGGCAUGAUCCACCUGCUACGGAUCAAUGCUGGUUGCCCUGCUGCAUUAUUUUUCCCGCUGGACUCCCACAAAUAUGAUCCUUAAUAAUCUUUUCAAAGACUUUUCCAAGGAUGGAGGUGAGGCUGACUGGCCUAUAAUGACUUGUAUCCUCUUUCCUCCCCUUCUUGAAAAUGGGGACCACAUUGGCCCUUUUCCAGUCCUCUGGGACCUGACCCGAGUGCCACGAGUGCUCAAACAGCCGUGCCAGUGGCUCUGCAAUGACACUGGCAAAUGCCUUCAGUACUCGCGGAUGCAGCGCGUCUGGGCCUGCUAACUUAAACACAUCCAGUCCAUCCAAGUGACUCUGCACCACGUCAGCGCCGACAGUUGGUAGGCUGGUAUCCCUCUGAUCCCAUCUAAGAACCUGUUAGGAGACUGAUCUUGACCCUUGUUCAAGGACACUGAGGCAAAAAACUCAUUGAAUAGCUCAGCCUUGUCCCCCCUGUCUGUCACUAAUUGCUCGUGUUUCUUCAGUAGGGGUCCUGUGCUGCCCUGCGCCUUCGUUUUGCUCCCUACAUACCUGACAAUAGACUUCUUGUUGUCUUUAAUUUGUGUUGCCAGCCUCAGCUCUGUAGUUGCUUUGGCCUUUCUAACUGCCACCCUGCAAGUGCAGGCCAAGUAGAUACACUCCUCCUUGGUAGCUUCCUCCUGCUUUCACCACCUAUAUGCCUUCUUUUUUUUUUUUGCCCUUAGGCUCUUCUGGAUGUUUGUGUUUAGCCAAGGAAGUUUUUUGGCCCCUUUCUCCCCUUUCCCUCGCACUGGGAUCAUCUCCCUCUGUGCCUGAAGGAUCACUUCCUUUAGGAACGACCUCCCUUCCUGGACUCCCAUCUCGCCAAUACUCCUCUCCUGCAGUGCAUCGCUGGUUAAACUGAGCACACUGAAGUUAGCCUUCCUAAAGUCAAGCACCUCCAUCCUAUUAUUAUCUUACCCACUCGACGCCGUAUGAUAAAUUUGAUUGAGUGAGUGGUGGUCACUGUCCCCAAGGUGACCACGAAUCUGUAGUUCCCCUACCAGGUCAUCCCCCAUAGCCAACACCAAGUCCAGUGGGACCGUAUACUUCCUGCGUUAGGUGAGCGGUUGGAUUUGGCUGACUGCUUUUCCCAGCAGAUGUCAGGGUAGUUUAGGUCCCCCAUGACAACCAUGUCCCUAGACUGUACGGCCUCUGAGAGCUGCCGCAAGCAUUCCCAGUCUAGCUCUGCUCCUUGAUGUGGUGGUCUGUAGCAGACCCCCAUCACCAGGUCCCUUUCCCCUUGACCUCCGUGUGUCCUAACCCACAAUGCUUUAACUUUCUCUUAAGACUCCCUUCUGUGCACUCACCUGAACACGGUCUGAAACCAAUGAUGCUAAUGCGCAGAGUUCAGACUCCUCCUGCUCUCCCCUCAACUAAAUAGGGAUGGGAGAAAACCCCUUCCCACGUCCCUACAGCUGGCCCAGGUCACCUUACUGCUGCUGCUGGUUCCUUACCACGGCACAGGCGCCAAGGGCGCACACACGCUUGCUUCAGCAUCCCAAGUAAAAGUCAAAUGCUCUAGGUGAGGCUUGAACUCACAACCUUAGCAGCACUUCCAUAGGGUUGUUUUUACAAGUACCACAUGCUAACCCACUGCACCACCAGAGCUGAACUGAAAGGCUUUUUGUCACUCUUUUAGAGCAUUGGUUUAAAGUAAUUGUAUCUCUGCUAUUGGCUUUUGGAUUUAAUAAAGACAUUUGAACUGAGUUACUGACACGCUCAACCAAAUUCUAACACAACAUACAGGGCGCAUCUACAUGUGUCACUAUGGCAACUUUACUGUGCUGUGUGUGUGGCACAUGAUUAUUUUUAGCCGCUACUUCACCGUAGUGGCGCGCUAUACCAGGGGAGUGUGUUGCAAUGGGGAGGUAGCUGCUGUUUGCGUGUAGAUGCCCAUGGAUGCUACAUCGCCAAUUUUGUUUCUUAUACUGCUGUUUUUCCAAAUGUUUCUAAUAAAUCAGAGAAAACUAGGGUUGAAAGGGGUUCCAGUAACUCAUCUAGUCCAACCCCUUGCUAAAAGCAGGACCAUCCUUAAUUUGAUCAUGCCAGAGACUUGUCGAGCCGGGCCUUAAAAUCCUCCAAGAGUCCACCACCCUCUAGAUAAGCCGUCCCAGCACUUCACCAAUCUCUUAGUCAGAAAGUUUUUCCUAAUGUCCAGCUUGUUCACAUCCCUUCUGUAGUAGGGGGCACAAAACUGAGCACAGUACUCCACAUGUAACCUCACCAGUGCAGAAAAGUGGGGAAUAAUGACUUCCCUCAGUGCUGACAACACUCCUACUAAUGCAGCCCAGUAUGCUGUUAGCCUUCUUGGCAACAAGCACACACUGUUGGCACCUAUUCAGCUUAUUGUCCGCUGUAACCCCCGGGUCCUUUUCUGUGGAGCUGCUGCUUAGCCAGUUGGUCCCACGCCUGUAGCGGUGCAUGAGACUGUUCUGUCUUAAGUUCAGGACUUUGCACUUCUUCUUCUGGAGCUUUGCCUUCUUCCCCUGCAUGGCUGGUUUCAGGCCUGGCCAUUCUUCCUUCCAUGGGACUGCUGUGGGGACAGGCAUGCCCCCAACCUGCCGCUGUAGUGGGGCCUUGUCAAGCCCCUUGGGCUCGGGUUGAGGCUGACAAAGCCCCCUUUCUGCGCUGUCUUGGGGCUGGCGUGCCCCCUGCCUCCCUCUGCACAGAUGGAUGGGGCCCUGGCAUGCCUUUGUUUAGAGCGAUGUUUGAGCACCCCGUGGUUUGAGCACCCGUUUGUGUAGAGUUAUGUUCUACCUGUGAUGAUCUAGGAAGUAUGCAAGAGGCAAGGAUUUUUGGGUGUGAUCACUUUUGUUGGACCAACUGAAUGGUUGGAAUUAAGUUAGACAAGCUUUCAAACGCAAAACGUUCUUUGUCAGUGUUUUAGAGCAGUUGCUUAAAGCAGGUGUAGUCAAUCUGGGGUAUGCCUACCCCUGGAGGUAAUUUGAAAGGUCCCAGGGAAUGUACAGGGGCGGGCGCAGAUGUAGCACACCUGCUGCCUCACAGGAGCAGGGCCAGGGCGGAGGGAGAGCGGGGCCCACAGAAGCUGCGCUGCCGCUGCUCUGCCACUCACCGUGCCCCUGCUCUGUCUGGCCCUUGCCACCCCCCGCCACGUCUGACCGUUCGCCACCCCCACCUGCUCCGCAUCCGGCUGCUCCCACCCCCCUGGGGGUACACUUUUUAAAGAAGGGGCUGCCGGGGGUACACUUACUAAAAAAAAGGUUGAAAACUACUGGCUUAAACUCACUAUAUAUCUGCUAUUGGCUUUUGGAUUUAAUAAAGACAUUUUAGCUGGAUUUAAUAAAGACAUUUUUCUGACAUACUCAAUCAAACUCUAACACAACAUGCAGUGUUGUUCUGGCUUUUGAAGACUGCCCAGAAACCUGUGCUUUUUUAUUAAUUGCUGAUCAUUUUACAGCUUUUAGAGAAAAAGGAAAUUAGUUAAGCUCUUUCUGAGUAGUAAGAUACUCAUGUUUAUUAAAAGCUUAAUGAAAUUUGGGACAAUAACGAAAUAAUACCUUUAAAAUAUUUUUUAGAAGUUAUGCAUUUAUAUUAGGGGCGUACCGAUAGAGAUUUUUGGGGCCGAUAUUGCUAGCUGAUCUUUAAGGAGGCAUAUUUGCUGAUACCGAUCUGGUUUCCGAUACAGCUACCUCCAGCUGGUUAACUCCGGUCUGGUGGAAGGGGAAGGAGAAGGGGAAGGGGAAGGGGAAGGGGAAGGGGCGUGGCGGGGGUGCAGAUCAACGCCGCCUAUGGUGAGGGAGGAGGCAGAGGGAGGUGCUGCCCAGGCGCGGUGCAGGGGACGGAGCCAGAGUUCGUGAUAGGGGGCCAGCUGUCACCGCUGCUUGCAACCCGGGAAGGCACUGGGGGGACAUGUGCCCCCCUGGAUCUGUGUGGGACGGGGCAGGCUGCAGCCAGGACCGCGUGGGGCUCUUCUCGGCAGGGGCUAGGCUUGGAGUGGGUGCCGGCAGUGCUGGGAGGAUGCUGCAUCCAGCCCAAAUUUUGCCAGGGCUCUGCUUCCAGCGCCACCACCGCCAGCCACUCGGUGCAGCCCUGGCUCAACGCCCCACCUCCACCCAUGCACCAGGAAAACCCGGGGCUGCAUUGGGCUGCUGGCAGCGGUGGCACUGGGAGCACAGCGGUGGUGAAAUCUGGGGUGGA